CGGACGGGUGAGUAACACGUGGGUAAUCUGCCUUAUACAGGGGGAUAACAGUUAGAAAUGACUGCUAAUACCGCAUAAGCGCACGGGGACGCAUGUUUCUGUGUGAAAAACUCCGGUAGUAUAAGAUGAGCCUGCGUCUGAUUAGCUGGUUGGUGGGGUAACGGCCUACCAAGGCGACGAUCAGUAGCCGGCCUGAGAGGGUGAACGGCCACAUUGGGACUGAGACACGGCCCAAACUCCUACGGAAGGCAGCAG
rnacentral:rRNA from 1 species